rnacentral:pre_miRNA from 1 species
CUUGAAUUAUUCGUGUCUUUGAUUUCUGGACAUGUCCAUGAGACAUUCGCAGAUUUUUUACUCCACAGGACAUGUCCAAAAAUCAGUGACAUGAAUAAUUCAAG